AACGAACGCUGGCGGCAUGCCUAACACAUGCAAGUCGAACGAGACCUUCCGGCCUUGUUGCGCACGGGUGCGUACCGCCGGGGAACCUGCCCUUAGGUUCCGAAUAACUCACUGAAAGGGGUGCUAAUACCGGUUGAGGUCUUCCGACCAAAGAUUUAUUGCCUUUGGAUGGGCCCGGGUUGGAUUCGCUGGUUGGUAGGGUAAAAGCCUACCAAGGCGUGGUUCCAUAGCUGGUCGGUGAGGAUGAUCAGCCACACUGGCGCUGAGACGCGGCCCAGACUCGUACGCAAGGGAGGAGUGGAGUAUAUUGGACGAGGGGGGCAGGCCUGAUCCAGCAAUGCGGCGGGAGUGAUGAAGGCCUUAGGGUUGUACAGCUCUUUUAGCCGGGGUGAUAAUGACAGUACCGGGAGAAUAAGCUCCGGCUAACUACGUG
rnacentral:rRNA from 1 species